AGCGAGUUUGACAAGGGUGCCAACUUAAUCCCAUUCCAGAAGUACACUGGGGUCAAAUUGCCAAGCACCAAACAAUCCUGGUUUAACACAAGUCUGAACCUCAAGGAAUGUGAGAUGUUGUGUAUGAAGAACUGCUCCUGUACAGCUUAUGCAAAUUCUAAUAUCAGGGAAGGAAGAAGUGGGUGCUUGCUGUGGUUAGGUGAUCUGAUUGACUUAAGAAAUUUAACUGAGAAAGAGAAUGGACAAGAUAUCCAUAUAAGAUUAGCUGCAUCAGAGCAAGAUAACGAAGAGACUAGUACCAGAAUCAAUGCUAAACCUACUAAAUCCAAUGUUAAGAAAGUGAGAAUCGUAGCUAGCACUCUUGUUUUAUCUACUGGGCGUAGCUCUGCUCUUUUAUGUUUGGAAGAAAGAUGCAGGAAAACUGAGCCGCGGCCACUAAGAAAAUCUGGAAUUACCAUUGUUUGACUUGGCUACUGUUGUUAAUGUAAUAAACUAGGAGAAGGUGGCUUCGGAUCUGUUUUUAAGGGUAUGAUGGAAGAUGGACAAGAAAUAACAGUGAAAAGGCUCGCAAGAGACUCUAUGCAAGGAAUUAAUGAGUUCAAAAAUGAGGUUGUACAUAUUGCCAAACUUCAGCACAGGAAUCUAGCGAAGCUUCUAAGGUGCUGCUUUUUCAAUAAGAUAAAUGAUGCUGAUCUACAAAUGCAUUCCCAACAAAAGGUUGGACUUCUUUAUUUUUGGUUUGAUCACUGACAACUUUAUAUUUGGUUUUAGAGUGAUUCUUGCGUGGGGCAGCCGCACCGCCACGUGGUGCGGCAGGCCAAUCAUUCCCCUAGCAGGGGGGUAUUUUGGGUAUUUCACAUUUAAAAAUCAGGGACAAUUUCGGAAUAAAAACAAAAAUUUCUGAGAUUUGAUUGGGCAGCCGCACCGUACACGUGGUGUGGCUACCCGCACCUAAGAAUUGGCCUUGGUUUUAUUGGUCCAUAGUAAGUACAUACCCCAAAGAAUAACGGAGUAGGCUGCAAUGAACCAACACAUUUGUAGACCAACAGAUGCCGUCUGCUUUUCUGUUAGACCGACCAAGUCCACUCACACAGGACAAGUUAGAUGAAACUGUGAAGUAUGAAGUUACCACAGGGGCUUUUAGGGGAGAAUGGGAGAGGCAGCUGCAUCGAGGAGGAGAUAAGAUUCCAAGUCUAAAUACCCUUCUCCGUCGUCCUUCAUCUCUACAAAACACCAAUCUGCAAAGGAUAUCUCAUUUUAUUGAGAAGAUUGCGACCUGCAAAGAAAGCCCACUGUAUUUUGAAAACCGAGUUUCAGACUAUCGAAAUAGGGCGAAAUAAGGCAAAUCCUUUUAAGUAUUGGCUGCCAGAAGGAAGGAGUAGACUCAGGGCUGCUCCAACUGCGCUGUCGAAGAGACAUGCUGAUGGUUCAUUGCCAAUUGAAGAUUUCAACAUAGUACUUGAAAAUCAGAUUGGGAAGAAAGUACAAAUGGGAUCGGAGACUGAUCAGCGGUGUGAUUUAAUCAGGGUUCAGUAAUUUCUGUUCUCAAGUUAGAUCCUUCUAUGAGAAAUUAAGGGGAUGCAAUUCCAUUUUGAGUUUGAAGUAAGAUUUGAAAUGUUGUUUGACAGAGAAAUCAUGAUGAGCCUGAUGUUACAUACCAAUGCAAAGCAACUGAUUAAAGCACAAAAUUACAAAGAUGCAAUGGAAGUGCUCAGCAUGGAGGAGGAGGCUUUUUCUCUGCGAUCCAUCGGUUAUUAAGGUGAGUGAGUUACUUUAUUGUAGACAUUGUAUUACUAUGAAGUACAUGUGGCUGUGUAGCUUUGACAGCUGAACUAUAUCAAUCUGCCUUUCACUUUGUUAGAUUGGUUUCAAUAUGAGUGUAUAACAUUCGCCAUGUUUUGUUUGCUUUCACCUGGUCGAUAAUCCUUCUAUACUGCAAAUCGAUAUGGUUUGGUGUUAUUUCAUGCUUAGAGACAUCAACUGGCUCUCAGUGGCAAGAAUUCGCCUUGAGAAAGCCAAAGAAGGUCUUGAACGAGCUCAUGGAAAGGACUCUUCUCGUGUUAGACUCCUUCAGGCGGGUCGUUAUCCAGAGCGUGCACUGUGACUUCUUCUACUACAUAUCUGAAUGUUUGUCUACACUACGCAGGUCUACUUACUUUGUUGAUUCUCAUUAUAGAUAUUUGAUACUGGAGCUGCUGGAAGGGGUGGCGGCGUAUCAGCGUGGUCAGGUUGAUAAGUCAAUGAAGGUGUUGACUUCUGUACAAGAGUUGUUCACCCAGCUUCAGGUGCUGGAUGAAUCUCUUUGUCUUGUGAUGAUUAUGGGCUUCAGAGAACGAGAUACAAAAAGGGCACUGAGGAUGAGCAAUCAAGAUGUUUCCAUCAGCCCUGUAUAGUCGUUAGUCAUCCGAAGAGUUUCUUGACUUUGCAGGUUUGAAAAGGAGCUUGCCGCUGAAGCACUAUGAGGAAAUGACAGUGGAGAAGGCAUUGGGUUUGACAAAUCCAGAGACCAAUUCUUCCAUACAGCAGUCUUAGCUUUGCAGGGUGGAGGGACAAUGGACCAAGCAAUCUGUCCACUGCUCUCGGGACAGGCACCAAACCCCACAGAUGCUGCUAACCAAUCUGAGGCAAUUCCUGCAGUCAAUGCUAACAACAAUAGUCAAUCUGAUGUUGCAAUUGACAUUGCAAAUUCUCUUGCGUCAAUGCUUGAUAAUCAAAAUGGUCAAGUUGGAGGUCCUUCAACGUCUAGUAAUGCAUCAGAGCGUGAUUCAGAAAUGGAAAGCCAACUUGCUGAAGAACUAGCACAAGGAGAUGCUUUCACUGACUAUGAUAUUGAAGUUACUAGACAAGGUGAAGUCAUAAGUGAGUACUUGGCUCUACUGAAUUCAGCGGGAACAAAGUGAAUAUCACUCUGCCAAUAAGAAUUGCGACUUUAACAACCAUGCAUGUACAUGUAUAAUAACAAUAGGUCAAGGAUCUAGUUAUGGUGAUGGUGUUCCGGAUGAUCAAUGUCUUUGAUCCGGCAUUUUCCCUACUGUUCCAAGACUAAUAUUGGUGCCAUGUAGUUUAUCUAACCCGCCUUUCACCAUUUCUGGAAUUAUAAAAAAGCAUAUUUGCUGCUUUUGAGUAAA